GCUCAUGUUACAAUCAGACUGCAAGGGGUCUGGUGAGAGAUAGAUACCAGAACCACUGCUUUCCAGGAGAUCAGUGCAAUGACGUAACAAUGUGGACUUUAAGGUCCAUCUCAAACGGCGUGCUGGACUUUGUCUCUGGACAUGGCGAGACAUCCCCAUCCCAAGCUCAGGAAAGACAACGAGAAGUCAGAAGGCUCCCAACUCUGCCUGAGAUGUCAAAGACAACUACAAAGACAAAAAGAGAGGAAAUGUGGUGGUAUUGUGUUCCCAAGAAAGUGAGUCCUGUUUCCACACUGUGAAAUCUCAAGUGUGAAUACAAUGCAUGCCUAAGGAGUUCUAAAUUCUGGAGAAAGUGCUUGAAAGAAUCUAAUUCUGCCACUUAAAAAAAAAAAACUUGUAAUUUGACCUCAUGCAAAGUUUAGGAAGGAUUCACACCACUGCUCCCCAGAAGGCUCUAUAUCUGUGUCUACCAAUAUAAUUGAUGGAAUAUUUGAAAGUGGUAACAGAUAUUGAUGCCCCUGAAGAGAUCUGCUAAGGCUUCCUGGAAUAAAGAAUCUACACAGAUUAAGGGAGGCAGUCGAGAUGAACCAUCAGAACUUCACUCACCAAGAGCUGUAGACGUGAAAGACCCCAGCGUAUGAAGCCUUGAGGGGCUGGCAACUACUGGCUCAGAUGGUGAGCUCAGUUGCCUUUGGAAUCAGAAGUCCCGGAAGGUUCAUGGCCAUGCCCUGUUUAUGGUCACCUGGAAACCACAUUCUACAGCAUCUCCAGGAUCUAAAGGAAGAAGAUUCUGUGAAAAUGUGAGAAUUAUCUGUCACCCCUGAGACUUUCAUAGACCGUUUCUCAUCCUCUUGGUCAUCAGUAAUCUUCAAGUGUAGUGUCCCAGAAUUAAAGUGUUAAUUAGGUGCAAUACAGGGGCCUUUGGAGAGGACAGUACUCCUUAGCCCAGCUGGCCACCACUGGACCUCAGAAGCAUCAUGGAGAUCAGUGUUGCUCUCAGCUUGGAUCAGAGAAGCUUCUUUCUGCUCAUAACGGGUCAAGUACUGAGAAUAACCAACUGUUGAGUGCUCAGCCUUAAAUGGGGCACCUGGUUGACCCCCACAGAGGGCAGGGGACAAUGUGGAAGAAGGCACAGAAAGACUGUAAGAGCUGGAGGAUGGUGAGGAGUUGUGUGAAAUGCUGUCUUCAGGACACGAGAGGCUGUUCAAUCAGAAGCUCACAGCAGCUAAAGAUCUCAGCUCAAGACCUGCAUGAGAACGAGCCAGUUAAAUUUCUAAGCUGGAUGGGGCAGCAGCUUUGGAGGUCCCAUCCCUAACCGAGGAACUUUUGGCAACUGAUGGCUGCUGGGGAAGGAAAGUCACUGUGACCACUGGUCGGCUGCCCAUGCUAACUGGACUGAGGAGGCAUGAUGGUUUGAAUGAGAAUUGUCCCCAGAGGUUCCUAUGUUUGGAGGCCUAGUCCUCCAGUUAGCGGAACUUUGGUGUUUCCAAAGCGCAUCCCUGGCUCUGUCUUUUUCUCUCUGCCUCCGACUUGCAGAUCAAAUGUGAGCCCUCAGCUACUGGACCAGUGCUGUGCCUGCCUGCCGGGUGCCAUGCUCCCCACCAGGAUGAUCAUGGAUCCACACUCUGAAACUAUAAGCAAGCCAAUCAAAUGCUUUCCUUUAUAAUAGCCUUGGUCAUGGUGUCUCUUCACAGCAAUAGAAAAGUAACUAAGAAGGUAGGUUAUAAAACAUCAUGAAGGAUUCCAAAGGUUGGAGGUGCAUGUGUUAAGCAUUGAGGGAGACUCAGAGGGGCAGUGAAUACUAUAAAUAUGAGUUGUACACAUGUGUGAAAUUAUCAAAGAAUAAAUAAAAAUAUUAAAAAUAUAAAGGAACCUUGUACCUCUGGACACUGUGGGAAUUGAAGACAGUGAGCAUCACUGAAGGCUACUGCUCUAUGCUCCUAUUGUGAAUGCAGCCCUAUGUGGUAGAGACACAGUAAUGGAUUUUACUGUUUAUUAAAUAGAGUAGGAGCCAGUGGUCAUCCCAGUGAAAAAGAAACAGACAGGUGGAAUGAGGGGGUAAUUUUCCCUAUUUAAGCAGCCCCAGCCUCUGAAAAAAGAAAUUAAAUUUAGCUUUCUAGGUUGAAAGAAAAACUUUAAAAAAAAAUCACAUUUUUGUAGUUGAAUACAUUUAGAGAAAAAGACCUUCCCAGAGCUACACAGCUGCUUCUCUAAUUCACAUAUUAUUAUAAAUAAGCUCUGAGCAUUAGGAAUCAAGAGUUCACAUAGUCUCUUCUUUCAAUAUUACAUGGCACACAUGUUGACAUUUUACACGCAACUAAUUACUUGUAAAAUAUUUAAUUCUUCAGAAAAUAUGUGUCUCAGUUGUUGUUGUUUUUUUUUAAUUGCUGUGAUAAAGACCAUGACUGAAAGCAACUUAGGAAGAAAAGGGUUUCAUCUUACAGCUUAUAGUUCAUAAUGAAGAGAAGUCAGGGCAGGAACUUGGAUGCCAGAACUGAAGCAAAGACCAUGGAGGAGUGCUGUUCACUCGCUUCUUCUUUGUGGCUUUCUUAUCUACUCAGGGCUACCUGUAAUGAUCCGGGCCCUUCCACAGUAAUCAUUAAUCAAGACAAUAGCCCACGGACUUGCCACAGGACAAUCCUACAGAGGCAUUUUCUCAAUUAAGAUACCCUCUUUUCCAGAUAUGUCUAGAUUUCUGCCAAGUUGACGAAAACUAGCCAGAACAUCUCCCCAUUUUUGUUGAAUACAUCACUUUCCUGUUCCACAAGAAGAGAAAGAAAAUGAAUUUGCACUGUUUUAAGUUCCCAGGUUUGGUUUGACUUGUUGCACUAGAGUCAUAGAAAAAAAAUAACCCAGUGAAGAAGCUAGAGCCAUGGUGAUGGGGGCCACCACCAGUAGUUGACACCACUGCAUGCAAGAGUGGACAGCCCAUAGGAGCAGACCGACGGAGGGUGGUGGCCAAUGGAGGUGUGAGCAGAAGCCUCCAGGUAACACACAGGGAUCUCAUUUGUAUGGUGCCAGUGCAGCUGCGUGUCUUGAAACCUGUUCCUGUUGGCAUCCCAUGAACUGCUUCAGAAAACGCGAGGGCUCAGAAAAUCUCUGGGCAGCUCUGCCUGUGCGCUAUUGACCAUCUCCACCUUCAGAUGGUCUGGUCAUCAAUCUUCACAUAGUUGACAAUGAUCUCAUAACGUACAUGCUAGAUUUUGUCACACAGUCUUUACUAUUGUGUACUUCAAAUACACUCAGAACUGAUCCAGAACUUAAAAGUUUAAAUAUUUGCAUAUAUUAUUUUAUUUUUGAGACACGGUUUCUCUGGGAGGCCUGGCUGUCCUGGAACUCCCUCUAUAGACCAGUCUGGCCUGAAACUCAGAGAUCCACCUGCCUCUGCCUUCCAAGUGCUGGGAUUAAAGGUGUGUGUUGCCACUGCCCGGCAAAUUUACAUAAUUUUAAAGGAAUUUGUUUUCCUAGUUUGUACUUUUCGUUCUUGAAUUAUAGCUUCCUAAUCUGGUCUGUAAUGUGUUUUCUAGGUUGCAAGUUGACAUUUUUUUUUUUUUUUUUGUUGUUCUCCUUGGAUUUCAUGAAUAAGGAAGAGGAACAUGCCGGGAAAAGCAGUAUCCACUUGUACUUCUGGUAUCACUGUAUACUAGCUUUGAAUGAGUGUUUGCCUUCAGUGGAAACACGGGUGGUAAGAAUUGUCAUAUUUAUCUUUUUCUUUCACACCUUCUAUAUUUAGAAAAUUUUUAUCAGUCACAGAAAGCAAGGGAUCAGUGGGAAAUUAAAGAAAGAAAUUGGAAAGUGACUGAGGCGGAUGAGUGACAAUCCUUCGGAGAGAGACUUUCUGACUUCAGGGGGACAAUCAGCACACCAUAGCUCUCUAUUUCCUCACUUGUUAGGAAAUCUGGAUGACAAUUGUGUCCUAAACAUCACUUAGCAUAGUUGGGAAGGUUUUGCAUUUGGGUAAUAAUUCUGUCAUAAGUAACUUUAAAUCAGAUAAGCAAAAGUAAAACGGAAUAUCAAUUUGUAAGCAACAUAACCUGCAAACACUCAACACAGGACACACUGACUGAGGGCAGGACACACGGACUGAGCAGGGAAGCGGGAAGCAGGUGUGCUAUGGACUCUUCUCUGACUCAGUCACCUCUGAAUUACUCUCUUCCCCUUCCGAGUAAUUCGUAACCAAUGCCUACUUAGACGUGAAGGGGGAAACAAUGACCUGGGUAUUCAGUGCACAGCAGCUGAAGUCCUGAGACCACUUGGCCGUCAGAAUGCCACCCUGGGGUGAAUGGGGGCUGGGAGGAUGCUAACCUGGAGGCCAGGCAGCCAGUGAACAGGCGUUGUCUCCCCACUGUGAUGGUUCUGUGACUUCUACACCACGAAGGCUGCCAUAUGCUCUUGUUUUCUCCAGUGGUUGUCUUUUUUGACAAAUAAUAACCAUCUCUGCAGCUCCUUUUGGUUUUAUAAUAAACCGUUGCUGUUACCAUAGACUAAGUGCAUUGGAAAAUGGAUCAAAACUGGCAAAAAAAAUCACAAAUGUAUAGGUAACUACUGACAUGAAGUGAAUAUUUACAUUUUUCUAGGUUUCAAAUGAGUGAAAGUGAUGUGUAUAUAUGUAUGUGUGUAUGUAUGUAUGUGUGACUUAAUUUAUUUUAAAAAAUCCUAUAAUUUGUCUUUAAAAUGACUUUUCUUGAGUUUUUAGUGAUAAUUGUAUCUUCCAUUGUGUUUAUUCACGGGACAAAUUAUUUGGAAUAUAUACAAGCAAUGCAGUAGAUGUCUUCCUAGACGUAAGAUUUUACUAAAGUUCUGCAAAAUCCUAUUUAGGGGCUUUCGAGAUGGCUCAAAGUUUAAGAGCAUUUGCUGCUCUUCAGGCUUGAUUCUUACCACCUAGAGCAUGGCCUACCCAGUACCCACCUGAAGGAGAUCCUGGCCUGUUCAUCCCUCCCUUUUGUGUGAAUAAAUCUGGAUGACCCCAUGGACUGUGCUGUUUGCUGAUGCAGCUGGCCUCUCUCUGGAGUUGUGGGAUCAGAGACUCACACAGCCAACUAAGCAGGACCCUGACUGAGUGAGGCGUCUGUCUUCCCUUCUCAAGAGUUCUUUCCAUUCCAUUCUGAGCUUAACAGUCAUCUUUCAUAAACACCAGCAGUCUUCCCUGUGUUUACACCAAUCCUCUGGGUUUCCUCUGAAGAGGUUAAUUUCUGCUUUUCCAAAGAAUGCAAAGCAACACGUGUACGGUGGAUAGCCUCUUCAACUAUUCUAUUUUCUUUCUUAGCUCUGUGUCUGUCUUCCAGACCUGUGCAUGGGGAUGACCUUUAUCUUAGCGUAGCCUUUUCUUAUUGAAAAAGUGUGUCACCACAGUGGGGGCCUGGUCAUGGCUAAUCACUAAGACACAGCAGAUGGGCAGCAGGGUAGACAUCCAGGAGAAGGCAGCGGGUGGAGACUCCUCGCAGAGAGGAGACUGCUGCUGGGAUUAACUUCAUUCUGCGGACAGAAAGAAGGUUCCAUGCUGACAUGAUGGCACAGGAAGAAAGCAGGUAGUUCUUUAAUUUAGGCACAGGCUUUUGUAUCACACUGAGUAGAGUUUUCUUUCCAUUAAACUGUCCACUAGGUAUCCUUAUUGGAUUUUGCCAGCCCCCAUUCUCACAAUGUAAGCCAUCCUUCUGUAGCAUCCCCCUACCCUACCACCUACUCACCUUUCGGAGAUUUAUUACUGCAGUCAAAAAACGCACGGGGUGAUCAUCCCUUAUCAAUCAGAGCAGACUGUGGCUGCAAGCUAAGUAGCACGACAAAGACAACACAGCUCUGCGUGGAUUAAUGUCUGCUGCAGUGGAAAUAACAAAGACACCAACUGUCAUUGUAUCACUCCUUAAGUAUCAGCACAAGGCAGGGCUCGAGACAUUGUAUGUGACAGGCAGUGUGACAAACAACGAUGAAGGUAUGACUUGGCAAGUUUCAGCAGAAGAUGCUAUCGCAUUACGGUCUGCUGGAAAACGUGCCCAGCCUCCUGCCUGCCAACAAGAAAAUGCAUGGCAUUACGAGAAGGUGACCUCCUCUAUCUCUACCUCUGCUUGUGUCUGCACCGCCGCUUCAGAGACCGACUGGCUUGGUGGUGAACAGUGUGGAGGGCCCUUACACAAAUGCAUGAACGAAGACUGGGAAAAAGUAGGAAAUGGAAGCCGAGUGGGGCGUGUGUGGCUGCUCAGCCAGCAGACACUCAUGAGAGUGAGAGUCACUGCUAGAAACUUUAUCACCACAGCCAAGGUCCCUCCUCUCUCACCUGCCUGUUCACUCUCACUCAGCCCUCUCUUCCACACCAAUCUUCUCCAAAGAAGCUCAGAGUCCUGUUGAAGGGUCCAGGAAUAUAGAAAUAUAAAAAUAUAAGCUUAAGAGAUAAAAUCUGACAGUCAUCAGCUCUAAAGGUUAACUGCUAACACUGGCUGUCUGCUUACAGUCAGCUCCUCUGUCAACAGCCAGGGGUUAACUUUUAAUACCCUUACCCCUUAUAGCCAACAAC